GAAACUGUUCUUAUCUGAAAAACAAACAGAGGAGACCCAGUAAAAUUCACAAAUGGGGAUAGAAUACCAAAAUUUGUUUGAAUUUUGGAAGAAAGGGAUAGUUCUGGUUUUAUUUCAGGCCCUGAUCCUACCAUGGGCCCUUCUGCAGCACCAAUGACUUCCAAAGACUCCAUAGCUGCAAAGCAACUGCAGAAUCAGCACCAAAGAAUUUUAACUUUUUCCUUCCUUUCUCUGAGCAAACCUGACCUCACUGACAGAUUUCACUGUUACUUGUACUAUGCGCAAUGAGCAAAACACGUUUCCUGCUAAAUGACUUGUUCUUCUGAUUAAAAAAAGUAAUGGUGAAAGAGAAAACAUAUGGAAAUCUCCACAAGAGAGGGAGAUGUGCAUGGCUGUGUAACACCCUUGUUGGGCUGACUUCCAGCAUUCCCAAUAGCAGGCGGAAGGCAGUGUUCAGAAAACUGAAUCAUGACAGCUCUCUCACAUUUGUAAACCUACAUAUAUCUCUAAUUACCAACUACUCUUCAUUUAUUAAUGGACCUAUUUUCUCCUGAUCUGUCUAUAAAAGUUCUUAUUACUCUCAAAUCCUCCUAUUGGCAUUACCUCAUUACAGUUUUUGCUGUCCUGAUUUUUGUGUUGCAAGCCCUAAAUAACCAAGUAUUCUUGUUGCCUGCCUCCUACCUUUCCCAUUUAUUUAACCUCAAACUGGGGAGUAGAGCGUAUGUAUCAUGAUAUGCUUGUUCACUGGAAGCAACAAUGGGCUUCUGACCAGCUCACUUCCCAUCAGGGUCCUUGGUCCAACAAGCAAUUUUGCUGUGUCUGUUUUGAUUCAGUUCUCAUCUGCUUCUAUUGUUCCUCACAUUCUUGCAUUUCCACUAGAAUACGUGGUUAACAGAAAAUGCUGCUCCUUAAUUAGACCCUGAGUGGUGUACUGGAAAUUGCCAGUCAGCUUAAAGAUUUAUGUGCUAAACUGGGUUAUCGUAACUGACAAAACUCCUUCCAGAAAAUAAGUUUGGAAAUAUCAGAAUCCCCUCCCCUCCCCCACAAUGCCAAAUUAGAAAGAGCUAAGAUUUCUACUUUCUAUUAUGACUCAUGCUCAUGCUGAGCACACGGUUGAUGAGAUCAGCCCAAGGUUUGCUGGGUUCGGACUAUAGUAAAGAUGGAUUCUGCUAAAUGACAGAGCAGCCAAAACAAUAAAAAAGAGGAAGAAUGCAGAAACCACAAAGGACCCUAAACCACAGCAGGAAGGAAGAGGAGAUGGGGUCAUUCUUCUCAGAAGAUUAAGCAGAGACAGGUGGCAAGGGACGCUUUGCUCUUCCAUUCACCUAACCUUUCUGACCCUUAAAAAUAAGUUACUUUUUUCCAUGAAUGUUAAAAAACACCAAUUUUACUUAGUCCAGCAACAGGAGAUUCCACAGGGUUCAAUUUGUUUCUCAUUUCCAAAAAUGCACACUCAGGUAUAUUUGAAAUAAAGACUCUAAACCUCAAAAAUCCUGAUGGUGAAUACAGUCCUUUCUUAAGGGGAACUAGGGCCCCUGUCCAGGACGAUCUCCCUGUUUAGAACAGUCUUACAUACAAGUUCAGCUUUAAGCAUAUGCUCAAGUCCCACUGAAGUCAGUGCAACUGAAGUACACAUUUAAAUUUAAACAUGCUUAAGUGACUUCCUGAACCAGGGUCCACAUGAAUACUGCUCACAUCAGUGAAGACUUGCUGGACGUUACAUAGGAUUACAAAGUGACACUGUGCAUGAUAUCAGCUCUAUUUGGAGUCCACCAUAAGUGCUAGUCAUUAAAAUGGCCAUCCUGUCUUAUCCCCAUCACCCACAGCAUCAUCCACAAUAUCUGAUAAAGUAAGCCCACUGCUUGUGAAAACAUGUUAUGCAUCUCUGAUUUAAUUAGCCUGCAAGGUGCAAAUCUACCCUGCCUUCUGCCAUCCUAUCUUAACAACAAAAGGGCAAAGUUUCCUAAUGUGUAAUAUUUAAAUAAAAUGUUCAGUUGUAAA